rnacentral:snRNA from 1 species
GUGCUCACUUUAGCAGCACAUACACUAAAAUUUGAAUGAUACAGAGAAGAUUAGCAUGGCUCCUGUGCAAGGAUGACAUGCAAAUAUGUGAAGCAUCUCAUACUUUU